UACGUAGGGGGCAAGCGUUGUCCGGAUUUAUUGGGCGUAAAGAGCUCGUAGGUGGUUCGGUAAGUCGGAUGUGAAAUCUCCAGGCUCAACCUGGAGGGGUCAUUCGAUACUGCCGUGACUAGAGGACGGUAGGGGAGUGUGGAAUUCCUGGUGGAGCGGUGAAAUGCGCAGAUAUCAGGAGGAACACCCGUAGCGAAGGCGGCACUCUGGGCCGAUACUGACGCUGAGGAGCGAAAGCGUGGGGAGCGAACAGG
rnacentral:rRNA from 1 species